AUGUGGGCUGUACCCAGCAAUCAUUGUUCCAUUUCAGCUCUAACCUCAAAGAGUACCAUUGUGAGGUCAUUGACCUUCCAACUUACACUUCCUGUCCUUACAGGGAAUGCUUUUGCUGUUGGUUGGAGAGUACUUGGAUUUCUGGGCUCGUGAGCCACAGCAUAUGGUUCUUCAUGAAUUGUUGAGUCUGAACAUAGUUUCAUGGUACAGGCUCUUCUGGAGCACAUGCUGGCCUCACCAUCACUAUAUAGCCAAAGUUGGCUUGAAUGUUGCUCAUCAUGCUGCCACUUUCAAAAAUUUUAUAAUUAGUAUGGGCUCA